rnacentral:rRNA from 1 species
GACGAACGCUGGCGGCGUGCUUAACACAUGCCAGUCGAACGGAAAGGCCCUGCUUUUGUGGGGUGCUCGAGUGGCGAACGGGUGAGUAACACGUGAGUAACCUGCCCUUGACUUUGGGAUAACUUCAGGAAACUGGGGCUAAUACCGGAUAGGAUCUCCUGCUGCUUGGUGGGGGUUGGAAAGUUUCGGCGGUUGGGGAUGGACUCGCGGCUUAUCAGCUUGUUGGUGGGGUAGUGGCUUACCAAGGCUUUGACGGGUAGCCGGCCUGAGAGGGUGACCGGCAACAGUGGGACGGAGAUAGGGCCCAGACUCCUACGGGAGGCAGCAGUGGGGAGUAUUGCAAAAUGGGCGGAAGCCUGAUGCAGCAACGCCGCGUGCGGGAUGACGGCCUUCGGGUUGUAAACCGCUUUCGCCUGUGACGAAGCGUGAGUGACGGUAAUGGGUAAAGAAGCACCGGCUAACUACGUG